UUGCAAGUUUCCAAAUACAUGCAAAGUAAAAUUGUUGGCGACAUUGCUCAUGUAUUAAAGUCACGGUUGACUCAGCAAGAAUGAAGACAUUGAUAUACUUUUGCAUUAUGGAAUACACAAGUUGGCAAUUCCUCGCCCACUGCCACUCAAAUACAAAUUUAAAAAAUCCUUAUCUGUUUGUAACAGACGAUGGAGACGAAGUGAUUAUUAUGUGUGGCAAAAGGUUAUUUUAUGAAGUUUUUCAUUUUCUGACUUCGUGAUGGAACUUAUUGGAAUACACUUGUCAUGGACAUGGGAGGAGUAUUGCUGCUACAAGCAUGGACAAUAAUAAAACAUUCCAAACAACAAUUUGUUAUUUCAACGAUUAGAUUUGUUGUUUAAAUGUAUAAAAGCUUUUGGAAUAUUUUUAUUAUAUAUCAUCCUAAUUU
rnacentral:lncRNA from 1 species